AGAGCACAGUAUUAUGUUCUUGUGUCCUUCCUAUACAGAUCACUUAAACUAACAAUGUGGGUCUUUUGUUUCUUAAGGCCAUAGUUGUGGAAGAGUAGGAAGCCUGUCUGGAGGCACUUUUGCAGCAAGCGCUUUGUAUCCAUGUAGCAGAAAGGACUCAAUGCUACUAAGAUACUACAUUGCAGAGUGCACAGUUUUAAUUGGUUUUCUCUGAGGAUCACUUUUGAGCCACUGAUGGAGUGUGCCUUGAGAAG
rnacentral:lncRNA from 1 species